rnacentral:rRNA from 1 species
AUUGAACGCUGGCGGCAGGCCUAACACAUGCAAGUCGAGCGGAUGAAGGGAGCUUGCUCCUGGAUUCAGCGGCGGACGGGUGAGUAAUGCCUAGGAAUCUGCCUGGUCGUGGGGGAUAACGUCCGGAAACGGGCGCUAAUACCGCAUACGUCCUGAGGGAGAAAGUGGGGGAUCUUCGGACCUCACGCUAUCAGAUGAGCCUAGGUCGGAUUAGCUAGUUGGUGGGGUAAAGGCCUACCAAGGCGACGCUCCGUAACUGGUCUGAGAGGAUGAUCAGUCACACUGGAACGGAGGCACGGUCCGGAAUCCUACGGGAGGGAGCAGUGGGGGAUAUUGGAGGAAGGGAGAAAGGCGGAUUCAGGGAUGCCGGGUGUGUGAAGGAGGUCUUCGGACUGUAAAGGAGUUUAAGUUGGGAGGAAGGGAAGUAAGUUAAUACCUUGCUGUUUUGACGUUACCAACAGAAUAAGCACCGGCUAACUUCGUG